UCAUAUAUAUAUAGGUGUCAUGUAAUAGCAAAUUGAUGUUGGAGCCAUGAAAUUGACUUAGGGCAGUGACUUUUCACAAAGAAAGGAAGAAAAAGGAAAUUCUAACACAAUGAGAGGUGACAAUUCAAUUUGUUAGGUUCGAUCAUAGCUUCGUGUUCUGCAAAAGUCUGAAUUGUAACGAAUCAAUUAUCCAAUCUGCGGCCUCUGUAGUUGCAACUGCUGAUCAACAACCACUUCAUCAGAACCCUCAAACCUAACUCCUCUAUUCUUUUUGGGGAACCUUGAUUUCUUGUAUGGCUCAGAGAUUGAAGAUUUUGAGGGGAGUAAUUUGAAUUGGGUUGAUCUGAUCGCGCAAAGAGAAAGGGGGAGAAUAAAGGGCAUUAUGCAGACUCGGCAGCGCAGUCCGCGAGGGUUUUACACGGGAGAGUACCGGCAGCGUGAAGGGGGUCUCGGGAGAGGACGGAGAGGGGAUAUAUUUGUCGAGGCGGGGCGGCUGGCGGCGGAGUAUUUGGUUUCCCAGGGACUGCUGCCGCCCAACGCGUUGCCGACGAAGUGGCAGAACCAAAAGGCUCCCGUGGAGGGUGGCGGGCGGCAGUCGGCGCUGGCGAGGCUUGGGAGCGUGGAUGGGAGGAGGAAAUUGGGGUUUGAUGAAUUUGGGCAGAAGGGGAGGAGGAGAGGGAGCUUCAGCAGGAGCAAUGGGAUGGAUUGGGGGAGGGAGUAUAGGAGGAAUGGAUCUUGGUCUGGUCGCGUGGCCAACGAUGUUAGGGAUGGUGAAGAUGAUGAUUAUGAAAGUGGUGGAUUUAGUGUUAGACAUCAAGAGGAGGAGGACCAGCACCAUUACCAGCACCAGCAUCAGCACCAACACCUGAAUAGUAGUGACGAUGCUUUGGUAAAAUCAAAUUCGAAUGAAUUUUCGCCCAGAAGUGAGGAUGGUGGUGAUUUGAAUGAUAAGGAUAGGGAUAAGGAGAGGGUGAGUGCUGAAUUGGUGGAGACGAAGCCGAGUGGUGCAGGGAAAGAUGUGUGUGAUGUGGAUAUGGGAGUUGGUGUUGGUAAUGAUUUGGAGGGUGUGAGUGUUGGGGUUAAGGAGGUGAAGGAUGGUGGUGCUGGCGAUGAUGAUAGUGAGAGAUUGAGGAAUGUGUCUGCGCAGUUGAGUGAUCAGGAGAAUAGUGGCUCUAGUGGGGCUGUUGCUGAUUUGGUUUCACUCUGCAAGUCUGUGAAGGUGCCCACCAGGACGCGCUCUUCGAUCACACGCAAGAAUUUGAAAGCUUGGAACAAUGGAGAUGGUACUGGGAGUGCACAUGAUGUAGGGGAUCUUAAAGGAGCUGACUCAGCUGAGGAAGUAUUGGCUGAAAAUGAGUCUGUUAAAGGCUCCUCAUCGGGUGAGUUACUAGGGGAGAAAAGUUAUGAUAUGGUGCAUGUUGAUGCGGAUGUUGCCGAGGUAGAACCUGUUAGUGUUGCCGAGGAUGUGAGAGACUUGGAUGCUGUGUCUAAAGCUGAGGAUGUGAGAGAAUUAGAUGCUGUGUCUAAAGUCGAUGAUGUGAAAGAAUUAGGAUGUCAGUCAGGUCAGGAUAGAAGCUUUAUUCAGGAUAACAACCAAGAGUCUAGUGCUACACUACCGGGGUAUGGAGUUUGCAGUUCCUUGGAUGGCAAACAGGGUCAAAAGCGGGUUGCGGAAGAUGAAGACGAUGAUGUGAGGGAGGACAGCAAGAGACUGAGGGAAUGGUUGCCUUCCCUUGUUCCUAAGACUGGGGGUUACUUUUUGCAUGGUAAUCCAAUUGAAGUGAAAGAGAGCCAGGUAGAAGAUGGUAUUUCACUCAUUGACAAAGUUACUAUGACUUCUGAUCAGGGGAGCCUGAUGGGUAGCGGUUCUCAGUUCACAGUAGGUGGAGAUAGACCUUUUCUUCAGUGUUCGGACGAGAAGCCUUCUUUGCCGAGUUCGUUUAGAACCUGUGAUCUGAAUCUCAUUGAAGUGUCUGAAGGGAAUGAAAGUCAUGUUGAUCACCCAGUUCUUAUUUAUUCCCCCUCGGUCUCUGAAGCAAAGAAAGCCGUGCCAAUUGACAUAGAUCUGAGCAUGAGUCAUACUAGUGUAUCAAGCAAAUUCAAUACUCACGCAGCGAAUGGCAAAGAGAUUGAAGUAAUUGAUUUAGAAAAUGAUUCCAUUCAAGAAGAGAAGUCAAUUGACAAUAUGGAUAGAAAGACAGAAACUAUGUUUCCUGGCCUUGAAGGGUUUUCCAACCAAGCUCAAAAUGCUGCUGACAUACAUGAUGUUCAGGAUGGAUAUGGGCUUAUGAUAUCAGAGUUGCUUGGGCCAGAUUUCCCUAACUGUUCUUCAGUACCACCCGUUGACAUAAGCUCUGUGCACAACGAAAUGGGCCUUCAUAAUGGAACGGGGACACUUGCUGAGGAUGAUUCGAUAUAUAUGUCGCUCGGAGAAUUAAGGCAGGGACACUUCAUCAAUCUUCAUGCAAUCUCAACCCUCAGCAAAAUGGCAUUUUAAAGUAUUAUUCUUAUUCUACAUUCAUCUGUAUCUCUCGUCCCUUUGUGGGUUUUGCUGCACCGUGCAUGUGCUUUGUUCUUGACCUUGAAUGGGACAAACUUUGUGCCAAGGUUCACAAAUUUAUGUUCUAGGGGUACUCUUGGCUUCAAAAAGGGUAUUGAUGUUCUUGCAAACUGCUACCUAAUCGAUGCAAAUGUAACCUCCUUCAAAAGUUCUGCUGAGCAUUCCCUUUGUAUGAGGCUCCUCAUGUUUCCUUGACUGGUUCUUCUGCACAGUUCAGGUUUUAAUUGUUGUUGCUCACAUUCUAAUCGUAUUGCCAGACCUCUUAAAGCACCUGUUUUCUCUCUUUCUCCAAUUCUGUUACCUUGCAAAAUCCCAUCUAUGGUAACUAGUUUUUCUGUUUCUUAUUGCAAUGUUAUUUGUUCCACUCUUGGUCUGAAUUGCAUGGGUGAUUUUAGUCACCGUUUCUAUCUUCACCCUACUAUACUUUGGGCACUUCUUUUCAUUGUCUCUAUACCAAAAGAUUACUUAGAAGUCUUUGUGCCAUUGUGCGUUUUGCAAGAACAAUGGUGGAUUGGACAUGAUGGUUGCUUUGUGUUCUACUGGCUCUUGGUGGCUGGUUCUUUGAUCUUUUUUCCAAAUAUACGUUUGGCUGUUUCUGUGCAUACACACUUAAAGUUGGCCAAGUGGCCAGAUUGGUUUUCUCAAAGCACGGUUUGGUUGUUUAUUGCUAGACAAAGAUGUGGGGGUUGGGUUAAGAUGAUACCUUCUGACCAGAUUGUGAUAUGGAAAAUAUCUGCCAACUGGAAAGCAUACUUCUUUUCAUGAUUCUGGGUAUUGAAGUGGUCCACUAUUACCGGUGUUGCAUUCUCGUGCAGAAAAUAUGGACUAGAUGUACUUGAGGAUACUGAAAUGGCAAACUGACUAUCUAUUACAACUGUGAUCUAAAUGUCAUGUUUCUGUCUAACAAAGGGGAGUCAUUGGUAGAAAUUAGGUGGCAUUUGAGUUAGUUCACUAUCGUGUGACCAGAUAAUUCCUUUAUUGUGAACAUGAUAUAUUUUUUCGUCAGGCACCGUGUGACAGUCACUGGGAUGAUGUGAUUCUCAUUAAAACCUCUAGGAGAAGGAUUUCUAUAUAUUUUCCAGAUCUCCUUCGCGUGUGUGUGUGUGUGUGUAUAUAUAUAUAACUGUAGGGUACUUCGGAAUAAUCUUUUAUAUUGGAAUAGUAUGAAUCAGGGUAUUGUUGCCUUGUCAAUUGCUGGAAUAAAAUAUUAAUUAUUGAGCAAUUGUAUUGGCAACAUGUGAUCUGUUGUCCAAAACUAUUGAUACAUGACAAACUGACAAUCAAGUAGCCUGCACGCAUAUAUGCAAGGUAAACUAUUUUCCCUGCAAGGACCAACCAAACAAAUAGAGGUAGGUUGCCUUUUCAUGAAAUAGAUAUUGUCUCAAUAAUUGUUUAUUUUUUGUCAUUUAAAUGACUGACAAGAUAUCUUACUAGUCAUUUAGUGAUCCUUGGAUUAUCUACGUUCAUAACAAGUGCGAUGCAUGACUCACAUGUGCCGUGCAUAUGAUUUAUAUGUGCAAACUUGAGAGAAAACUCAGGAUGGUAAUCCACUAUAAAAUCAUUAUGUUUUCCUAAAUAUUCAUAUAUAUAUAUAUAUAUAUAUAUAUAUAAUAUAUAUAUAUAUAUAUAUAUAUAUAUAUAUAUUUCAAGUGAGUUGUUUGUUUGGCAAAACGAUGAUGGCCACGUGUUGAAGCAUUGCCUGGCUAGCUGUUGGGACUUGGUUUUGGUCUCAAAAGGGGAGGACGUAUGGGUGAUGAAGCCUUCAUCUUUUCAAGGAUUACUUCCUUUCAUGUAUAUACUUGUAAUUGUAACAAGCUUACAGCAUAGUAAGCUUUAGUUUACCGAGGAUUUUCUUGUUUACCUUCUCUGUCCUAAAACUUCAACAGUUAUAUUGGGAAGGAUGUUUAGACUAGUUUAACAAGUGAAUCAUAGGAAUUUCUGUUCUGCGUGUUCUUUGUGAGGGAGGUGGGGUUUAUGAGACUGCAUCAACAAUUAAAACAUUGCUUGCAUAGACAUGCGCCUGAAGCGCUGAACAUAUGAAUAAAGGAUUGCUACUUAAACCAUGGCCAGAUGAAGAAUUGAAACAUAAUUGAUUAUUGGGAGCUUAAUGUGAUGCAAUUAAUGAAUUGUAGAAUUCAUAAAACAACAACAUAAAAAUAUUGGUGUGCAGAUUUCACAUUUGCAAUGUACUUAAUUUGAUUGCUCUGUGUA